rnacentral:rRNA from 1 species
CUUUACUGCAGGCUGAUAUUGGUAUUAGACAUGUUUUGUGUAGGAUAGGUGGGAGGCGAUGAUCUGGUGGCGCUAGCCAUCAGGGAGCCACCGUUGAAAUACCACCCUGAACCUGUUUGAUAUCUAACCCCGACCCGUAAUCCGGGCGGUGGACAGUGUCAGUUGGGCAGUUUGACUGGGGCGGUCUCCUCCCAAAGUGUAACGGAGGAGCGCAAUGGUACCCUCAGCCUGGUUGGCAAUCAGGCGUAGAGCGUAAGGGUAGAAGGGUGCUUGACUGCGAGACUGAUAGGUCGAGCAGAAACGAAAGUUGGCCCUAGUGAUCCGGCGGUUCCGAAUGGAAGGGCCGUCGCUCAACAGAUAAAAGGUA